GCUUACGGCCAUACCACCCUGAGAACGCCCGAUCUCGUCUGAUCUCGGAAGCUAAGCAGGGUCGGGCCUGGUUAGUACUUGCAUGGGAGACUGCCUGGGAAUACCAGGUGCUGUAAGCU
rnacentral:rRNA from 1 species